AUUGAACGCUGGCGGCAUGCUUUACACAUGCAAGUCGAACGGCAGCGCGGGCUUCGGCCUGGCGGCGAGUGGCGAACGGGUGAGUAAUACAUCGGAACGUGCCCAGUAGUGGGGGAUAGCUCGGCGAAAGCCGGAUUAAUACCGCAUACGACCUGCGGGUGAAAGCGGGGGAUCUUCGGACCUCGCGCUAUUGGAGCGGCCGAUGGCAGAUUAGCUAGUUGGUGGGGUAAAGGCCUACCAAGGCGACGAUCUGUAGCUGGUCUGAGAGGACGACCAGCCACACUGGGACUGAGCCACGGCCCAGACUCCUACGGGAGGCAGCAGUGGGGAAUUUUGGACAAUGGGCGAAAGCCUGAUCCAGCAAUGCCGCGUGUGUGAUGAAGGCCUUCGGGUUGUAAAGCACUUUUGGCGGGAACGAAAAGGACUGUGCCAAUACCACGGUUCGAUGACGGUACCCGCAGAAUAAGCACCGGCUAACUACGUG
rnacentral:rRNA from 1 species